rnacentral:rRNA from 1 species
UACGGAGGGUGCAAGCGUUGUCCGGAAUCACUGGGCGUAAAGGGUGCGUAGGUGGCGCGCUAAGUCAGGUGUGAAAUUUCGGAGCUUAACUCCGAAACUGCAUUUGAUACUGGCGUGCUUGAGGACUGGAGAGGAGACUGGAAUUCAUGGUGUAGCAGUGAAAUGCGUAGAGAUCAUGAGGAAGACCAGUGGCGAAGGCGGGUCUCUGGACAGUUCCUGACACUGAGGCACGAAGGCCAGGGGAGCAAACGGG